CAGAGCUGGACCACAUUAACCGGCUCACACCAUCAGCGCCGCCCUCUGCUUCACCACGCAGCUCGUCACUAUCCUGUCCCACAUGCUGGAUGUCAACCUGCCCAAGAAGCUCUGCAACAGCGAGUUCUGCGGAGACAAUCUGAGCCGCUACCGCUUCACCCGAGCUCUGAGCAAGCUCAACACCAACGUGCUCCACCUGUGCUUCUCUCAGCACGUUGACAGCGAGAA